rnacentral:rRNA from 1 species
AACGUAGGGGACAAGCGUUAUCCGGAUUUACUGGGCGUAAAGCGCCCGUAGGCGGCCUGACAAGUUGGACGUGAAAGCUCCUGGCUUAACUGGGAGAGGCCGUUCAAAACUGUCAAGCUAGAGUCUGGAAGAGGAGAGCGGAAUUCCCGGUGUAGUGGUGGAAUGCGUAGAGAUCGGGAGGAACACCAGUGGCGAAAGCGGCUCUCUGGUCCAAAACUGACGCUGAGACGCGAAAGCGUGGGGAGCGAACGGG